GACGGAGGGUGCAAGCGUUGUUCGGAUUGACUGGGCGUAAAGGGCGUGUAGGCGGUCGGUCAAGUCUGGUGUGAAAGCCCGGGGCUCAGCUCCGGAAGUGCAUCGGAAACUAGCUGGCUGGAGCGCGAUAGAGGAGGGCGGAAUUCCUGGUGUAGCGGUGAAAUGCGUAGAUAUCAGGAAGAACACCGGUGGCGCAAGCGGCUUGCUGGGCUGUAACUGACACUGAGGAACGAAAGCUAGGGUAGCGAAUGGG
rnacentral:rRNA from 1 species